rnacentral:rRNA from 1 species
CCUACGGGUGGCAGCAGUGAGGAAUAUUGGUCAAUGGCCGGAAGGCUGAACCAGCCAUGCCGCGUGAAGGUCAGUGCCCUAUGGGCGUUAAACUUCUUUUGUGCGGGAGCAAUAAUGGUCACGUGUGGCCAGACGAGAGUACCGUACGAAUAAGCAUCGGCUAACUCCGUGCCAGCAGCCGCGGUAAUACGGGGGAUGCAGGCGUUAUCCGGAUUUAUUGGGUUUAAAGGGUGCGUAGGGUGUGAGGUAAGUCAGCGGUGAAAUGCCCCCGCUUAACGGGGUGAAGUGCCAUUGAUACUGCCUUGCUGGAAUGCGGAUGCGGUGGGAGGAAUGUGUGGUGUAGCGGUGAAAUGCAUAGAUAUCACACAGAACACCGAUUGCGAAGGCAGCUCACGAAUCCGCGAUUGACGCUGAUGCACGAAAGCGUGGGUAUCAAACAGGAUUAGAUACCCCUGUAGUC